rnacentral:lncRNA from 1 species
CGCGACCCUCGGCCGCGAAUCCGCGACGACGAACACGGCGACGACACGAGCGGCGAGCCUCGAGCCCUCGACCACGAAUCCGCGACCGCGAGUGCCGUUUUUUUAGUCGAAUCAUUCGCGAAUCGCGAAUAAUUCGCGAAUCGCGAAUAAUUCGCGAACAAGUUUUUUUGAGAAAGAUUUGGCGUUUUUUUCCGAACUUUUCGGAAAAAUACGGAACGGGCCGUUUAAUACGUAAUUUUUAAAAUUCGCGUAUCAUUCGCGUUUUAAUCGCGAAUUAACUAACUAAGCUUACAAGCACGAAAGCCUCCAUACUUUCAAAAGCGCA